AGUAAAAGUCGUAACAAGGUUUCCGUAGGUGAACCUGCGGAAGGAUCAUUAAAGAGUAAGGGUGCUCAGCGCCCGACCUCCAACCCUUUGUUGUUAAAACUACCUUGUUGCUUUGGCGGGACCGCUCGGUCUCGAGCCGCUGGGGAUUCGUCCCAGGCGAGCGCCCGCCAGAGUUAAACCAAACUCUUGUUAUUUAACCGGUCGUCUGAGUUAAAAUUUUGAAUAAAUCAAAACUUUCAACAACGGAUCUCUUGGUUCUCACAUCGAUGAAGAACGCAGCGAAAUGCGAUAAGUAAUGUGAAUUGCAGAAUUCAGUGAAUCAUCGAAUCUUUGAACGCACAUUGCGCCCCUUGGUAUUCCGAGGGGCAUGCCUGUUCGAGCGUCAUUACACCACUCAAGCUAUGCUUGGUAUUGGGUGCCGUCCUUAGUUGGGCGCGCCUUAAAGACCUCGGCGAGGCCUCACCGGCUUUAGGCGUAGUAGAAUUUAUUCGAACGUCUGUCAAAGGAGAGGACUUCUGCCGACUGAAACCUUUUAUUUUUUCUAGGUUGACCUCGGAUCAAGUAGGGAUACCCGCUGAACUUAAGCAUAUCAAUAAGCGGAGGA
rnacentral:rRNA from 1 species